CCCCUUUCAGGGUUGCACCUGGAGAGUUUCUAGUACUCUACCAGUCUUAGCUAUGAGAGGGAGAGUCAGGUAGAUGUAUACCCAUUCCAUUCCUAGCUUGGCCAGUGGCUACUGAGUGGAAGGCAAUCUGCUACAAGU